rnacentral:rRNA from 1 species
GACGAACGCUGGCGGCGUGCUUAACACAUGCAAGUCGAACGGUGAAGCGCCUUCCUUUUUGAUGGGUGUGGAUGAGUGGCGAACGGGUGAGUAACACGUGAGUAACCUGCCCCCUUCUUCUGGAUAACCGCAUGAAAGUGUGGCUAAUACGGGAUAUUCUGGGUCUGUCGCAUGAUGGGUCUGGGAAAGAUAUUGUUUCGGUGGGGGAUGGGCUCGCGGCCUAUCAGCUUGUUGGUGGGGUGAUGGCCUACCAAGGCGGUGACGGGUAGCCGGCCUGAGAGGGUGGACGGUCACACUGGGACUGAGACACGGCCCAGACUCCUACGGGAGGCAGCAGUGGGGAAUAUUGCACAAUGGGCGCAAGCCUGAUGCAGCGACGCCGCGUGAGGGAUGGAGGCCUUCGGGUGGUGAACCUCUUUCGCCAGUGAAGCAGGCCUGCCUCGUUUGUGGGUGGGUUGACGGUAGCUGGAUAAGAAGCGCCGGCUAACUACGU